rnacentral:lncRNA from 1 species
AGUGAAGUGCUUUCCUCACUCUGUUACAGACAUACAACAUGAAGUUGGGCCACCCUUUAACUGACUAUGGAUCUUACAACUAUAUCUGCAAAGUGGAGGAGCUUGAACAGUCUUCUGUAAGCUUUUCUGGAUGUGCUGUUGAUCGAUCCCACCCACCUGGCUCAUUCAGCAUGAGAGAGGUGAUGAAAUGGAUGGAAGAAAACCACCAGCCUGCCCAUGUGAAAAUAUGAGAACUGGGAAUUCAUUUUGGAAUAUUGUUGGAGUCUGGCGUGUGAGUACUUCCCUCCCUGGUAAAGUCUCCAAAUAUCUGAGAGAUUCUUCCAAUCCUCUGCCCUACUUUGAAACAACACUCUUACUGGUGUUUUGGGAUUGAGGUCAUCCAGUGAGGUGCUGGCUUAGCCUGCUGGUGUGGUAUUUAGGUACAAUCUUCUUUGUUAAUGGUAGGUAAGUUGAGGAAAGUUCCGGGCAGCAUUCCUCCUGGAUGCAGAGUGUGUCUUGCUUUGAGCGCAGGACUUGGUCUGGAGAGAACCACACUCAGAUCUCGAGGACACAGCCUUUUAAUCAUCUCUUCUGGGUUUUAGAGACUCUGAGCAGAAGAGCUUGUCCUCUCAAGCAUGAGGCUAACAUGGUUGCCAGUGUCCUACACAAAUUCUCACCUCUGUAGAGAGGAGUCUUUCUUUGUCCCCAUUAAAUUUAUUGGUACAUUUAAAGCAAACAAUACAGUUACAUUUCUCAUUGGGAUCUUGUACCUUUACAUGAUAUGUCUUGAUUCUUGUUUUUCCCCAUAGCCCUGCUCUUCCUUCACCCACUUCACCCUUCCCUGUUUACAAACACUUUGUUUCCAUUUUUUUUCUUUUUUUCACAUUUUUUCUUUUCCCUUAUUUCCUUUCCCCUUCCCUUCCACUUCCCCUUUAGCCAUUUUCUUCCUAUUUCACCCU